rnacentral:lncRNA from 1 species
CAUAACUUAUCUCUAAUGUCUAAAGAUACCAGUCUGAAAGAGGUUCUCUAUGAACUUCAAAAUCUGUGUUAGGACCAUUGGCUGGAGCUCCUGGAGAAGCACAUGUGCCAGCAUUGUUUAAAAUCAAGUCAAUUCCUGACAGUUCCAAUGCAUUAGAGAAAAAGAAAAUGUAAGUGCUGCAGGGUGAUGUGGUGGCAGCAACUUUUGAAGAGUAUAUUUUUUCCACAGCAGGUGAGUACUAAUACGUUUUAUGCAAUUUAUCAUCCUUGUCUUUGUUCAAGGGAUUUUUUUGUAAAAAUAAGAAUAAAGAUUUUUUUUAAUCUUAAGACUAUAACAAGUCAAAUAUUUCAUGAUUCCUCCAUGGCCAGCCAAUCAAAAUACUCACGUAGGCUGGAUAAACUUAAGAGCCACACUGUAAUUUGAUUCAUUGUGCAUUGAUUCAUUCAGCAACAGUUCAUUCACUUGACCAAUAUUUAUGGAGCACCUGCUAUGUCCUAGGCAUCAUGCCAGUCCUGCAGAUACAAGCAUCAACAAGAAAGACAGAGUCCCUGACCUUUCGGUGCUUAUUUACUUAAAAUCCUAUUGAUUUCUGAUCUUCACAGAUUUACCACAUCUUUAGAAAGCAGAUCAGAUAGGCAAAGUGUAUAACAUCUUUUAAAUGGCUCCGAUAAAUCCCCCCUUUCCUCAAAAUUUGUUACUAUCUCAAAUUGUUCAUGCCUGGAGAUCCACCGCCCCUUCGUCUCCAGGCUUUGUUCCCCGUACAAGCAUCCAGACACUGGAGCUGAGAAUAGGGCAGAGAGGAGCAUGUAUAACCCAGUCAUUUUCACCUUCAUCUGUAAGAAUGUAACAAAGCCUUCUUUGUUGUGAUCAGAUUCUGGUGAGAAGACAUCUGAGUUGAGAGAUCCCAAGGACCCUGGAUACGUGGAUGCUGGAGACAGAAAACGGGAAUUACCGUGUGCUUAUCUGCACCUGAAGAGAGUAACCGGAUGCAAACCAGCCUCUGCGGAUCUCAGACCUGCCCCUCUCACGCUGCCUUCUCCAUGGCUGGUUGUUCGCCACAGGAUCUGAGCGCGAAGGAAUCAGGCAUGGUAGCCACUGGACUAGAGAGGAUGAGAGACACGUGGAGCAGACACGAAUCAGAACUGCAACUUUGAGCCUGAAGCCUGGAACCUGGAGGCUAGAGUCCAGCCUAGCUUAGUGGAGUUGCAGCCAAC